rnacentral:rRNA from 1 species
CCUACGGGGGUCUGCAGUGGGGAAUAUUGGGCAAUGGGCGCAAGCCUGACCCAGCAACGCCGCGUGAAGGAAGAAGGCUUUCGGGUUGUAAACUUCUUUUCUCAGGGACGAAGCAAGUGACGGUACCUGAGGAAUAAGCCGCGGCUAACUACGUGCCAGCAGCCGCGGAAAUACGUAGGUGGCAAGCGUUAUCCGGAUUUACUGGGUGUAAAGGGCGUGUAGGCGGGAAAGCAAGUCGGAUGUGAAAACCACGGGCUCAACCUGUGGACUGCAUUUGAAACUGGUUUUCUUGAGUACUGGAGAGGCAGACGGAAUUCCUGGUGUAGCGGUGAAAUGCGUAGAGAGUAGGAGGAACACCAGUGGCGAAGGCGGUCUGCUGGACAGCGACUGACGCUGAGGCGCGAAAGCGUGGGGAGCAAACAGGAUUAGAUACCCGGGUAGUC